rnacentral:rRNA from 1 species
CCUACGGGUGACAGCAGUGGGGAAUAUUGCACAAUGGGGGGAACCCUGAUGCAGCGAUGCCGCGUGAGGGAAGAAGGAUUUCGGAAUGUAAAGCUCUAUCAGCAGGGAAGAAAAUGACGGUACCUGAGUAAAAAGCCCCGGCUAACUACGUGCCAGCAGCCGCGGUAAUACGUAGGGGGCAAGCGUUAUCCGGAUUUACUGGGUGUAAAGGGAGCGUAGACGGUCAUGCAAGUCUGACGUGAAAGCCCAAGGCUCAACCAUGGGACUGCUUUUGAAACUGUAAAACUGGAGUGCAGGAGAGGUAAGCGGAAUUCCCAGUGUAGCGGUGAAAUGCGUAGAUAUUAGGAGGAACACCAGUGGCGAAGGCGGCUUACUGGACUGUACCUGAUGUUGAGGCUCGAACGCGUGGGGAGCAAACAGGAUUAGAUACCCGAGUAGUC